rnacentral:rRNA from 1 species
GGACGAACGCUGGCGGCGUGCUUAACACAUGCAAGUCGAACGGUGAAGCUCCAGCUUGCUGGAGUGGAUCAGUGGCGAACGGGUGAGUAACACGUGAGCAACCUGCCCCAGACUCUGGAAUAAGCGCUGGAAACGGCGUCUAAUACUGGAUACGAGAUCAAGCCGCAUGGUUAUGGUCUGGAAAGUUUUUCGGUUUGGGAUGGGCUCGCGGCCUAUCAGCUUGUUGGUGAGGUAAUGGCUCACCAAGGCGACGACGGGUAGCCGGCCUGAGAGGGCGACCGGCCACACUGGGACUGAGACACGGCCCAGACUCCUACGGGAGGCAGCAGUGGGGAAUAUUGCACAAUGGGCGAAAGCCUGAUGCAGCGACGCCGCGUGAGGGAUGACGGCCUUCGGGUUGUAAACCUCUUUCAGCAGGGAAGAAGCGAAAGUGACGGUACCUGCAGAAGAAGCACCGGCUAACUACGUG